rnacentral:rRNA from 1 species
AUUGAACGCUGGCGGCAGGCCUAACACAUGCAAGUCGAACGGUAACAGGAAGAAGCUUGCUUCUUUGCUGACGAGUGGCGGACGGGUGAGUAAUGUCUGGGAAACUGCCUGAUGGAGGGGGAUAACUACUGGAAACGGUAGCUAAUACCGCAUAACGUCGCAAGACCAAAGAGGGGGACCUUCGGGCCUCUUGCCAUCGGAUGUGCCCAGAUGGGAUUAGCUAGUAGGUGGGGUAACGGCUCACCUAGGCGUCGAUCCCUAGCUGGUCUGAGAGGAUGACCAGCCACACUGGAACUGAGACACGGUCCAGACUCCUACGGGAGGCAGCAGUGGGGAAUAUUGCACAAUGGGCGCAAGCCUGAUGCAGCCAUGCCGCGUGUAUGAAGAAGGCCUUCGGGUUGUAAAGUACUUUCAGCGGGGAGGAAGGGAGUAAAGUUAAUACCUUUGCUCAUUGACGUUACCCGCAGAAGAAGCACCGGCUAACUCCGUG